UGUUAAAAGUUCCAUCUACUUCUACUAUUAAAAACUAGUCAAUGUAUAUUAACAUGAGGUACACAUAGCACAUCACAUUUAAUUAUACGGUUAUUUUGUCAGCUAUGCUAGUUUUUAACAGUAUAAGUGGAUGAAAAUUUUAACA
rnacentral:pre_miRNA from 1 species